UCCAACAAGGGGUGCGGAGCUCAGUCCACAGAUUAUCUCGAUGAUCAUAUCGACGAUAUUCACCUUCUUGCUAGCGGAUCUUUCGAGAUCCGUUUUUUCAGGUCAUGGAGCUUUUUGUGCCGUUUCGGUCUCGGAACGGGAAGGAGCUUUUUGUCC
rfam:Agrobacterium tumefaciens str. C58 circular chromosome, complete sequence.